rnacentral:rRNA from 1 species
UACGGGGGGGGCAAGCGUUGUUCGGAAUUACUGGGCGUAAAGGGCUCGUAGGCGGCCAACUAAGUCGGACGUGAAAUCCCUCGGCUCAACCGGGGAACUGCGUCCGAUACUGGAUGGCUUGAAUCCGGGAGAGGGAUGCGGAAUUCCAGGUGUAGCGGUGAAAUGCGUAGAUAUCUGGAGGAACACCGGUGGCGAAGGCGGCAUCCUGGACCGGCACUGACGCUGAGGCGCGAAAGCUAGGGGAGCAAACGGG